rnacentral:rRNA from 1 species
ACAGCAGUCGCCACGGUAAUACGGAGGGUGCAAGCGUUAAUCGGAAUUACUGGGCGUAAAGCGCACGCAGGCGGUCUGACAAGUCAGAUGUGAAAUCCCCGGGCUUAACCUGGGAACUGCAUUUGAAACUGUCAGGCUGGAGUCUUGUAGAGGGGGGUGGAAUUCCAGGUGUAGCGGUGAAAUGCGUAGAGAUCUGGAGGAAUACCGGUGGCGAAGGCGGCCCCCUGGACAAAGACUGACGCUCAGGUGCGAAAGCGUGGGGAGCAAACAGGAUUAGAUACCCGGGUAGUCCCUGUCUCUUAUAA